rnacentral:rRNA from 1 species
GGAUAUUGGGCGUAAGGGCUCGCAGGCGGUUUCUUAAGUCUGAUGUGAAAGCCCCCGGCUCAACCGGGGAGGGUCAUUGGAAACUGGGAAACUUGAGUGCAGAAGAGGAGAGUGGAAUUCCACGUGUAGCGGUGAAAUGCGUAGAGAUGUGGAGGAACACCAGUGGCGAAGGCGACUCUCUGGUCUGUAACUGACGCUGAGGAGCGAAAGCGUGGGGAGCGAACAGGAUUAGAUACCCUGGUAGUCCACGCCGUAAACGAUGAGUGCUAAGUGUUAGGGGGUUUCCGCCCCUUAGUGCUGCAGCUAACGCAUUAAGCACUCCGCCUGGGGAGUACGGUCGCAAGACUGAAACUCAAAGGAAUUGACGGGGGCCCGCACAAGCGGUGGAGCAUGUGGUUUAAUUCGAAGCAACGCGAAGAACCUUACCAGGUCUUGACAUCCUCUGACAACCCUAGAGAUAGGGCUUUCCCUUCGGGGACAGAGUGACAGGUGGUGCAUGGUUGUCGUCAGCUCGUGUCGUGAGAUGUUGGGUUAAGUCCCAGCACGAGCGCAACCCUUGAUCUUAGUUGCCAGCAUUCAGUUGGGCACUC